rnacentral:lncRNA from 1 species
AAAAGAUUUGGCUCGUGCCAAAAUCAUUCUCAUACUUAGUUAUCAGGGAUACCUUGGCCGCGGGCUAUCCCAAACCGAGUCCGCCAAGGCUAUAAAAAAGUUAUGUACUCCUAAAUCAUGUUUUUUAUUUUUAAAAUAUAGUUGUUCUUUGGCAUUGGCUAAGUUCGCCUUCACGUGGUGGUUUGGCGUGAAGUGAACUCUAAAAGUUAUACCUCAGGAGUUGCCCUACUCGCCUCUCCAACCGAGGUAAGAAUAUGACCAGGUUCAGUGCCCCUUUAAUCGACUAGUCCACAAAACCAGCCCACUGCAGCAAGCUAAACCUACCAUACAAUAAAAUUUGCAACAACAUGAUAUGACAAUUUUAUCAUUAUCCAGCCUAUCAAGGCAAACAAUAGUUUAUACAUUUCAACACAAAUACCAAUUUAGCCAUUCAUGCCAAUAUUGUCAUAAGCCAAUCAAUUAGAACCAUAAAUUCACAAUACAUCAAAUGGUCUCCAAUUACUCUAUUUGAAAAGCCAUUAUUCAAUUUUAAAAUAAUUUUAUGAAAUCAUUUCACUAAAUCACAUUUUGUUUAUAAAAUCGAAAGAUUAAUCAUUUAAUUCAUUUUCCAUGAAAUUCACAAAAUCGGAUAAAAAUCACUUUAGAUAAUUAAGACGAUAGUAAGGUUACUCACAAUACUAGGAGUUCGAUAUACUCCUAUUCCCGAUCUUCGGGCACAAUCUCUUUACCCUUGUUAGAGGGCUCACCACUUAUACAUCAUACGUGACACGAAUUUUAAUAAAUUGUGUCAAUGUAUCAUAAACUAUUUCAGGCUCUAUAAAUCUAUAUGAAUGAAGGAAAUGUGAUGCAAAAUGUCCGAAUAGCCGUUUAAAUACGAUAUUCGACCUAAUUCGCACUAUUCUCAGUGUAAUUAGCUAAAACCUCCAAUUUAACUCUAAAUCGAUUUCUUUCACUUUCUACACUCCAAUUAUACUUAAAAUACCUCAAUGAUUGUGAAUAUGAUUCAAUUUAUCAGUCCAAACCAUAAAUCGCACAUGUCUAUACAUUAGGUAAAAAUUCAUAUUUUCAUGCCAAAAUUUCCCAUUAAAUUUCUAGCCUCACCAAUCAUUAAAUACCACCAAAAUAUCAUGAAAUAUCAUCAAUUUCAGCCUUAAUAUUCUCCCUAGAAAAUUUGGCCUCUUGUGGGUUUGUGAAGAACAAAGUGAUUCCUUGCUAGAUUUUCAUACUUUCCAUUACCAAACAACCAAAAACACUUAAUUAGCUUGAAAUCUAGCAAAAUCAAUGCUCAAAACCUCUCCUCUCAAAUUCGGCCAGCAUGGGUUCAUCAUGCAAACUUGAGUUCUAAGCAUGAAAAAUGAAAAAGAAAGCAUGGGUAGUGUAAAUCACAAGAUCAAAUCACAAAAUUUUACCUUUAUUAGCUUAAUCCCUUGAAAUCCCACACUUUUUCUUCAAUUUUCCCACCUAGGGUUUCUGUUCUCUCCUUUCCUCUUCCUUUGUUCUUCUUUUGC